UACACAGGUCUCAAGCGUUGUUCGGAAUUACUGGGCGUAAAGGGUUCGUAGGUGGCCAACUAAGUCAGACGUGAAAUCCCUCAGCUUAACUGGGGAACUGCGUCUGAUACUGGUUGGCUUGAGUGCAGGAGAGGAAUGCGGAAUUCCAGGUGUAGCGGUGAAAUGCGUAGAUAUCUGGAGGAACACCGGUGGCGAAGGCGGCAUUCUGGACUGCAACUGACACUGAUGAACGAAAGCCAGGGGAGCAAACGGG
rnacentral:rRNA from 1 species